CCACAAUGCUGAAUUUCCUUUGGUGUAUGGAAUUGAUGCCUUUGCAUUGUAGCGUGGGCUACAAGAUCAGAAAUUCAGAUUUCUCAAUGCAUGCCUCGGGUAGGGUAUGGUUCAAUUAUCUCCUCUUCUCUUUUCCAUGUACUCCUUUUCAUUUUGUUAUCUACAAAAGGCCCCAUCUUUUAAACAUAAUUCACCCCCCCCCUCCCCCCCCNNNNNNNNNNNNNNNNNNNNNNNNNNNNNNNNNNNNNNNNNNNNNNNNNNNNNNNNNNNNNNNNNNNNNNNNNNNNNNNNNNNNNNNNNNNNNNNNNNNNCCAUGAAAAGGCACGUGGUCAAAUGCGUGUCUGAUUCCUUCUCCUAACUAGUCAUUAAAGCUAGUAAUGUUAUAUCUAACAAAUUUGAGAAAUUAGAAUUUGAAUUCAAAAUUCUCUUUAUGUAUUUCUUUAUUUGGUUAUGGCUUGUGCUAUUGGCUGAGACAGAAAAAAUUGGAUAGUGAGAAUCAAUGGUGCAGAUGAUGCAGCUAGAUAUAUAGUUUAUCCUCAAGGGGAGGCUUUUUUUUUUUUGGAAUUAAGGGGAGGCUUUUUAAUUUACAAGAACAUAUGCCCUUGCCAAGAAGAGGCAGUGUGUAUGGUUUGGGUCCAUUUCCACCUAAACUAUAACAGAAAUUUCACUUUCAUACGAACUAUAAAGAUGUAAAGAUGCGCAUACCUCCAUGAUCAGCCUAACGCCUUAUAUGUCUAAAUUGGUCGGUUCUGAUUCACAAGGUUCCUUAUAGAAAUAGCCAGUUGUAAAAUAAACGCCUUUAUACGAAAUAUUGAUACAACCUUCCAAAUUGGAUUUUUUUUUUUAUUAUUGCUUAAGAAUUUCCACACUUUAUAUUACCCUUGAUUUUUCAUUUUACUCCUAAUUUUUGACACAAAUUCUUACAACCUCCUUAUAUCUCUUAAUUUGUUUUUUUUUCCCUCAUCAUAUAUGUCAUUCAUCACAUAUAUUGCUUUUGUCUUUAUCUUUCUUCUCUUUUUCUAUACCUCAAUUUUUACAACUACCUUAUAUACCUAUCUUUUUAUUUUUCUCAUAUCAUUUUAUUCAUAUUCACAUCUAUCACUUUUGUCCUUCUCUUAUAUUUCUCCUCUUGUUUCCUUAAUUUAUUACACUAGUUUUGUAUUUUUAAUUUAUCUUUUCAAUGCUAUUAAUUUCUAUCUCACUUUAAUUUUAAUAAGAGUGCAUAGUCUCCCUAUAAUUAUGUAUCACUAUCACGUUAGUUUCUAAAAUUAAAAAAAAAAAGCUUAAAUAAGUUCCUAAAAAUGUUUAGGAUUUUAUUUAGUCUCUAAAAGUAACUCAUGUUUUUCUCAUUCUGGUAUCUAGUUUAGAGACUAAGUAAUAAUAAUAAUAAUAAUAAUAAUAAUAAUAAUAAUAAUAAUAAUAAUAAUAAUAAUAAUAAUAAUAAUAUAUCAAUAGCCAUAAAAAUGAAAAAAAUAUUAAUUUUAGGAACCUAAAUGAAACCUUAUACUUCUUUAUCUAUAUGUUGUAUUUUUAUGAUAUCAUUCAUUAAUUAUUUUUGAAUAAAUAUAUCAUUAAUUAUUUCUAUUACUUUUUUUCUCUUCCUUCUCAAGUUGUAAACACUUCCUAGAGGUAUAUUUCUUUUUCUUUUUCUUCCACGUGUCCCAUUUUUUACCAUUAAAGAGUGUUGUAAGCUUGUAUUUGGUAAUUGUGUGGAAAGAAAAGAAAUGAAAAAAAAAGGAAAUAGAGUGAGUAGAAAGAAAGUGGAAUGUAAAAAUGUUUAGUUGAAGUGAAAUAUAGGAGAAAAGAGAAAAAAUAUAUAUUUGAAUUAAAGUGGUUUGGUAGGUAAAAAAAAUUAGUAUAUUAACAAAAAUACAUUUUUACCCAUGUUUACAUAAUUAUUUUUUGCUUUUCUCUCUCAGCUUUCAUGGUAGCCAAGCAGCAAAGGAUGAUUUUGUAAGAAGAAAAUCAAUCCCCUAUGCUAUGAUCUGCUUAUUUUGCACCUCUCUUUUCUCAUGAUCACAUUUGCAAUGAAACUCUGUCAUGUGCACCCUAUGUAUAUUUUGAAACUUUCACGCGUCUUUCAUAUCAAUCAAACUCCACAAUUUCUUUUUUUCAUCUCUUUUUCUACUCUUUCACUUUUAUUCCUCAACAUUUCAUAUCAACCAAACGGGCAAUAAGGGUGGGAUCUAAGAAAAUAUAAUGAGAGAUUUUUUUUAAAGAAUAAAUGUUGAUUUAAAUGUGAAAUUUAUUUAUUUUCGUUAGGAAGAUAACUCUAAUUUCUUAUCAUUGUUUUUGUUUUUUUUGAAGAAGCAAGAUAAUUACUAAAACAUAGACAGUGUUAGUAGGCCCGGUCCAUAUGAAUUACAAGUAUAAAAAAAACAGAUACAAGCCCGGAAUUUCACCCAAAAACAAAAAGCCGUACAAGCCCGUAAAACACCCAAAAUUAUCCCAUAACACUAAUUUCUUGUUGUUUACAAUCGUAUUUCUAUCGCUUCAGAUCAGCAGUUUGAUUUUCCUUCUCUAAAAAUUAGAGUUCUUGAUAGAUCCAAGGACCUCCCUUCCAUCUGCCUGGCCCAUACAUAUGGAGGUCCAGGGAAAUUAAAAUUAACUACCUAUGUUUUUAUCUUUGUUAUAUCAUAUUUUUUUUAAUCAGCAAAACAGAUCAAUAUUAUAUAUCAUAUUAAUAAAGGACGUGAGAGAGGGGAGGAUUGAAAACAUUAAGCAACUAAGCAUAGAUGUACAACAUGUACCCUUUAAAGAAAAAACCAAUUCAUUCAUAUAUAUAUAUAUAUAUAUAUAUAUAUGGAAUUAUCGAUGGAUAAGAAUCGGAAAAACUCAUUUUGGAGGCUCUAAAAAUUUAGUUAUAGAUUUUAUACAACAAAUACUUGUGCCCAUAAGUUCAAUAUACCCUCUGUUUGGCAACCAUUCUCUUGGCUACAGUUCUGUACUCGAUAACACCCUCUCCCACUCAAAUAGUCUUCCAAGAGUGUAUUAAUGUGCCUUCUAGUUCGUAUGUCUCCAAAACAAAAUAAUGCAUGUUAAACUUCUUGCACCAUUUGAACACAGAGAAGGUUGAUGAUUCAAAAUAUUUUUCCAGUAAGAAUUUUCAAAUAUAAGAUCUUGGUAGUGAACACACGUGCACUAUGUAAUUUUUCUUUUUUAAAAAUUUCUUCUUCUUAAUCAUAUAUAAAAUUGUUAUAAAUUCACCUGUUUCCCCACUUUGCAUGAAGUUCCAUGAUCAAAAGCUGUUCCUCGGGUGUAAUAUUCCCUCUUCUAACAUCAGGACGGAGGUAGUUUAGCCACCGGAGCCGGCAACUCUUUCCGGUACGUUUAAGUCCUGUUCAAGCAUGAUGAGUCAUAUCUCUGGCCUAGGGCUUUAGUUGGAACGAAAGAAAAAGAAGAAGAAGAAAAUAGAAAGAGAAUACUCAAAGAAUAAUAAAUAAAAAAGGUUGAAGAGAAUGAAAAAUAUGUUUACCAGC
rnacentral:lncRNA from 1 species